rnacentral:rRNA from 1 species
AUUGAACGCUUGCGGCAGGCCUACCACAUGCAAGUCGUACGCGUGGCCGACGGGUGAGUAAUGUCUGGGAAACUGCCCGUUGGCGGGGGAUAACUACUGGAAACGGUAGCUAAUACCGCAUACCAUCGGAUGUGCCCAGCGGGGAUUAGCUAGUAGGUGGGGUAACGGCUCACCUAGGCGACGAUCCCUAACUGGUCUGAGAGGAUGACCAGCCACACUGGAACUGAUACACGGUCCAGACUCCUACGGGAGGCAGCAGUGGGGAAUAUGGCACAAUGGGCGCAAGCCUGAUGCAGACAUGCCGCGUGUAUGAAGAAGGCCUUCGGGUUGUAAAGUACUUUCAGCGAGGAGGCGUUACUCGCAGAAGAAGCACCGGCUAACUCCGUGCCAGCAGCCGCGGUAAUAC